rnacentral:tRNA from 1 species
GCCGAGGUAGCCUANCCCGGCCAAGGCGGUAGAUUCGAAAUCUACUGUCCAUUCGGACACGUGAGUUCAAAUCUCACCCUCGGCGCCA